AAAAUAUCUGGCAAACAGAAGUGAGAAAACCACUUACACUAAAAAUCUUGCAUUCCCAAUUCUUCAGCAAGCCUUCAGCUGCAGCUCCGCUCAUCAGCGGGGAUCUGGAAUUUGGAGAGUCGAAAAAUAGAUGCUCCAAAAAAAGUGCUGCGAGCAAAGCUGCCAGGCCUAUUUCCUGUCAUCAGAAAGCAACCCCCGGCUCUUCCGAGCUCAGCCCAGAAGCUGACGCAGUGCCAGCGGAGCUGCUGCCGUGGUCAGCCCCAAAACGUGCUGAAAUUCCACGUAGGGAAGGAGACAUUACCAGCAACUAUUUACGCUCACAGAAGCCUAUGAAGCAUUUCAGUGUUUAAACCAGGCUGGGCAGAGGAGCUAUGCUUCCAUCACGUGUGCGAUCUGUGAUUUUUCCCUUCCUGUGUGCCAGGCAUGGCUCAUACAGAAAGAGGGACUUUACAUUAGAGCUGUGAGGGCAGCGCUGCUGCUUGCUGGGUGCUGGAGCAGGCUGUGGGGCCGGCCGUGUUGGCACAGGUAGGCUGGGCUUUUCAGUCGUUUGUCAUUGUCUCCAUGCCGUGCUCCCUUGGGCUGCUGAUUUCUGUGGUCUUCCUUCAGCCACUGGUUCCCACAGUCUCAGCAUUUUUGUAAUGCAGAUGAGCGUCUUCCUUGAACUGCACAGUACUUGGAAAGCUCUGAGAAACGUUCAUCUCCUGAGGGCAGGAAAUUCCCAAAGCCCCCCUGUUAGCGGCCUACGAUCAAAUCCUGGCAGGCUCUUUGGCCCUCUGUCCCGCUUUCUCUCGCUCACCUGACAUCUACCCAUGCUUCCUAUUGGUGCUGCAGCAGCUGAAAGACAUCUGGUCCCGUUUCCUGCAGCACUUGCUUGGCUCAGCACUGAGUGUGUGCUGAGAUCCGGUGCUGCACACUGGGCACAGGGAGAGCUCUUUUUUGGUUGACUCUUCUGGACUGUCUUCCCAAGGCAGAAGCUGGAAACCACCAUGGCCUCAGGGUUUCAGCACACAGAGAUGCUGUAAAUCCCAGUGAAUGAGGCCCAGCGUGGAGCGGUUAUUUUCAAGGGCACUGCUACCAAUCUAUCCAGAGAGAGAGCUGGUCUCUGGGCAUCACUAAGAGGACUUGGAUAACACAGCAGGAGCAGGACAGAGUUGUACAGGAGUCAUUUAAAAAUAGAAAAAUAUAAUUUAAAAACAAACUCUUCUGGAUGUAACUUGAAAAAUAAGCAAGUAGAAAAUAUGAAACGAAUGCAAAGGGCUCCAGGUUUCUCGUUCUUCAAAAGUGGUGAUGGUUCAGGUGGGUGAUGAGCAGCUACAGAAGUAAACUAUUAAAUCAAAGAGAAAAGAGGAUGUAUGUACAUAUGUAUGCACUUUGAAAGACUUACGCUGAAUUAUAAAUGCUUCUGAAUCAUAAAAAUACAGAGCUUGUCAGUGGUUUCUGUCGAAGAUUGAACAUCUGAUUUCAUUUGUUCACAGCACAGCCUGUAUGAGUUAUCACAUCAAAAUCAGACAGAAGGGAGAAAGACACCACGAUAUCCUGUAGGCUUAAGAAAUAAAAAAUAAAAACAAA
ensembl:lncRNA